AGAGCUUAUGGGAUGGCAUGGUGUCUGUGUGUGUGUGUGUUAGACGUUGUCUUGUUUAUCCGAUAAAGUCCACAGUUUUCAUCCGAUUCUUUUCAAACUUACUCAGUGUCUUUAUAUUAAUGAGGACUCGAACCCUUUUGAUUUUCAGGUUACUGGGUCAAAGGUCAAGGUCACAGUGACUCGAAAUAGUAAAAACUUGUUUAUCCGAUGAAGUCCACAGUUUUCAUCCGAUUCUUUUCAAACUUGUUUAGUUUCUUUAUAUUAAUGAGGAUUCGAACCCUAUUGAUUUUCAGGUCACUGGGUUAAAG